rnacentral:tRNA from 1 species
GCCGUCGUAGUGUAGACUGGUUAGCAUGGGGGCUUGUGGAGCCUUAGGUCGUGGGUUCGAGUCCCACCGGCGGCC